rnacentral:rRNA from 1 species
AGAGCGAACGCUGGCGGCAGGCCUAACGCAUGCAAGUCGAGCGCCCCGCAAGGGGAGCGGCAGACGGGAGAGUAACACGUGGGAACGUACCCUUCAGUUCGGAACAACCCAGGGAAACUUGGGCUAAUACCGAAUACGUCCGUAAGGAGAAAGAUUUAUCGCUGAAGGAUCGGCCCGCGUCUGAUUAGCUUGUUGGUGAGGUAACGGCUCACCAAGGCGACGAUCAGUAGCUGGUCUGAGAGGAUGAUCAGCCUCACUGGGACUGAGACACGGCCCAGACUCCUACGGGAGGCAGCAGUGGGAAUAUGGACAAUGGGCGCAAGCCUGAUCCAGCAAUGCCGCGUGAGUGAUGAAGGCCUUCGGGUUGUAAAGCUCUUUCGCACGCGAGGAUGAUGACGCUAGCGUGAGAAGAACGCCCGGCUAACUUCGCGCCAGCAGCCGC